rnacentral:lncRNA from 1 species
AGACCAUUUCUCUGCCUGUAGGAUGGAGCUGAGUUGUCUCCAGAGAACAGAGUUGGACCUGCUCCUGCACCCACAGUCAGAGGACUCUGGGUCCCCACAGCUCCCUGUCCUCUGUUCCCCCAGGUACACUCAGGGCUGGUUGUGGGGCAGGAAGCAAGUUUAAUCCACUGUUCACACCUGCAUGAGUCACCAGGUGAGUGGCUUCGCAGAAAAUGCAGCCCUGAGUGUGGGUCUGAGCCUCCUAGGGGCCCUUCAAACCCUACUUACUCCGGGUAUCACCUGAGCUGUGCCCAGGGAUGAAGGGCAGGUGGGUUUCCUGCUCUGUGACUGUCACUGCAGAUUUGAGCUGCAGAAGGGGCAGUUUGAACUCCAGACAGGAAUAAUGGAGCUCCUUUGUGAAGAGGGGCUCAGAGGUUUCCAGAAAAUAGAGCAGGCCUCCUACCUCCAGCCCAGCCUGAGAUUGGAGCCACAAGAUGACUGGCUCCCUAAACCCCAGUGUCCAUGGGUUCCAUGUCAAGGAUCUGUAGAGACCAGACUGCAGCUGUUCCUGGUGUCCUGGAGUCUUUGCCUCUGCAGCUGCUCCUCAGAGUCCUGAUCCCUGGGGUCUGAAAGCCCAGGCCUGGGACUGGCCUUGGACUCUGCUCCACGCAGACAUAGCUCUGGAGCAGGGUCUCCAUCACAGCGCUGAGAACAGCUCUGGCUCCAGGCAGAUUCUCAAACAAGGAGAUGUGUCUUUGUGUCUUCUUGAAAUGGAGCAGGUCCUUGCCACCCCCACCUCACCCACCAUGUCUUCUGCCUGCGUUUUGCCUAUGGAAAACUUUAGUCAGAGGAUAAGUUUAAUCAGAGAAAUGAGAAAAGCUGAAACAAAGGAAAACAGUCAGAGAAAACUAAAUAAUAAUAACGUGGUCAUCAAGCAUAGUCAAGGACUUUUAGUUCUUUCUCAAGGGCUAUAGAUGAUAUUCUGAGCAUAUUCUGUGAGCUGUCUUAUAGUUACCAAAACACCAGGUGGGGAAGUUAACUACGUGAUGACCAGAUUGUACCCAGGACAUGAGCUGCCACAAUUCUGAGAAUUGACUGCAAAGGAAUGGGAACAAACGGACCCUGGAAAUGAAGAUUAACUGUUCCUAAAACAAUCAAGAUGGUGCUGGUCAGACCACUGAUGACCAAUUUGAAGAUGAUUGUUAGAGAUAACUGUGCUGUUUCUGCAUGUACCCUCACCCCAACUCUGUCUAUAAAAGCUCUCACUGCCUGCUUUUUGGGGUGGAGUUGGCCUUUGGACAGAUGUCUGCCACCCCCACCCCCCAGUUGCCAGCAUCUGAAAUAAAGCAAAUGUUCCUUUCCA